GCAGGUCUGGUGCGUUUGAAUGCGUUAGAUCUCAGUUCAGGGUUACGCUCAAGUUUUCGCAAGGUAUGAGAGUUAUUUGGUGCCACCCACGUUUUUCCACGACUUUGUCCUCAUUUAUUCCCACACCACUAUUUAAGGGAAGAAAGACUCCACAGUCCGCGUCUUAACUGUGAUUCGGCCCUCAUUCAUGAGUAAAGAGGGAGAGGCGAGGAUAAGAAGGCGUUCGGCCGGCCGCCCGCAGCGACGUCUUGCAAGGUGCAGGAAACCUCCCGCCUGCAGCCACGGCUCAUCCCUCUGAUCAGACGUCCUGCUGGGAAGCCGCUGACCUUGAACAGAGCACGGAGCAGAAAAGCAAAGCCAGGAGGAAGACGGAGACAGAAAGGGGCUGGAGAGGCCCUAACAGGCUUCCAUUUCAGCAUCAGCUUUUUUUCUUACAAAGUCUUUUCUUUUAUGGCAAAGUGUUCAAUAUAAAACCAGCUUUACUUAAUGAAAGUCGAAGUAAUGCAGCUCUGAAGAACUGUCACGUGCAGGUAAUAGUUCCCAAAAAAUAUUCCAAGAACCUGAAGGAAAACCAAUUAGCUUAAGCCUCUGAAAUAAUUGCUAAUGAAGAUAUGAAAUAUGCGGUUAUGGAUGUGGAGCUGUGCUGUAAUUCCCCCUCUGCCUCUCACACUCGUGAACACGCCCGCUGAAACACACACACACAUAUGCAGUCAUGCUUCUUUGUGAUGAGUUAUUCGUUGGACUUUCCUCUCGGUGGGGGGUUCCCUCCUUCCUCGGCUCUGAGCCGACAUGCCUGAGAGCGCUGACAGCUACACACUGACGUCUGUGCCACAGCUUCCCUCCAACAUCCAGCACCUCUCUCCCCCUGCAGACUCAGGUUAUCUCCAAGCUGAAAACUUUGCUGCAGUCCACUAUUGGUGAAAAGACUCUGCUGCUAAAUCAGUGAGUCUGAAAAUACGAUUUCAUCACCAAGUCCCUGCUGACCAGAGCAAAGAACACUUCCACCAGAGGCUGGAGGUGGGUUGAUGAAUAUCAACAAAUUAAUUAUGAUGUAAAUAUUACAUCGAAU